rnacentral:tRNA from 1 species
GGUUCCGUGGUGUAGUUGGUUAUCACGUCAGUCUAACAACUGCUUGCUCAGCAAGUUCGGUCGUCCCACUGAAGGUCCCCGGAUCGAGCCCGGGCGGAAUCA